GACAGAGGCCUCGAGCGUUAGGCGGAAUCACUGGGCUUAAAGCGUGUGUAGGCGGGCCCGUAAAUGUCUUGUGAAAUCCCACGGCUCAACCGUGGAACUGCUGGGCAUACUGCGGGUCUUGGGCCAACUAGGGGCAGCCGGAACAAGCGGUGGAGCGGUGAAAUGCGUAGAUAUCGCUUGGAACGCCGAAGGUGAAAACAGGCUGCUGGGGUUGCGCCGACGCUGAGACACGAAAGCCAGGGGAGCAAACGGG
rnacentral:rRNA from 1 species